rnacentral:rRNA from 1 species
UGAGUAACCUGCCCUUAACUCUGGGAUAAGCCUGGGAAACUGGGUCUAAUACCGGAUAUGACUCCUCAUCGCAUGGUGGGGGGUGGAAAGCUUUAUUGUGGUUUUGGAUGGACUCGCGGCCUAUCAGCUUGUUGGUGAGGUAAUGGCUCACCAAGGCGACGACGGGUAGCCGGCCUGAGAGGGUGACCGGCCACACUGGGACUGAGACACGGCCCAGACUCCGUACGGGGAGGCAG